CAUUCACUGUUGAUAACUUGAGUAUUGUCAAUGUGUUCAAUUUAAUUUGCAACGUGGCGUGAGUGGAUUUUCCCAAUGGCAGUGAAUACCCCUUGGAUUUUAUACGGCUAGAAUCUCGAUGUAGAAAAAAAUGCCUUUUGCUGCUAUGAGAGUCAAUCUAUUAUGUUUGACUUACUUGAAGUUUACAAAAGCUUUCACUUCUGAACUUCUUUGUUGUUCAUGAGUCUUUCGUUAUUAAGUGAUUAAAAGAUCAAGAUUUGAAAUGAGGGUUUUUAAUAAGGGUUAAGCUAAACUGUAUUGUUUUGAACUUAAAUGCAUCAUGAUUUUUUUAUAAAAAAAAAAACCUUCCUUAACGUUGCUUGUUCCCUUCCUAUGUUCACUCACUGAGUUUGUACUCAUGUUUUUAAAAAUUCAUCUUUUAGGUUUCCUGAGUUAAAGGUGGUUGGAUCCUAGGACGAGGUGCUCCUCCCUAUAUGUUGCUCAGUAGGUUUAACUUGCCUUUAAGUGUUAUCAAUCGUGUCCAGAGUCACUCCGCUGACGGUCGAAGUCUAAUUAUGUGUAUAUGGAUAUUUGAUGUGAAACAUUAAGGUUCAUUUGUUAUUCUAUAUAUGUAUAUAAUGGUUGAUGAAGCCAUUAUGAAUGCAUGACUGGGUUUUAUGAAUUGUUUUCAAAGGAAUUAUAAUUAAGUAUUACGAAUUUCGGAUUGUAAAGGAAUAUGGAUUAAUGUAUAAGAUCAUGUAAGUAGGCUUGCUUAGGCUUUGUGGGCUG
rnacentral:lncRNA from 1 species